UUAGUUUAAUAUCUAGAAUGAUAGUGCCAGUUAUGGCAAAGGUACGGGUUCAAGUCCCGUAAAGGACU
rnacentral:tRNA from 1 species